CAGUCGCCGCGGUAAAACGAAGGGUGCAAGCGUUAAUCGGAAUUACUGGGCGUAAAGCGUGCGUAGGCGGUUUGUUAAGUCUGUUGUGAAAUCCCCGGGCUCAACCUGAGAAUGGCAAUGGAUACUGGCAAGCUAGAGUGUGUCAGAGGAUGGUGGAAUUCCCGGUGUAGCGGUGAAAUGCGUAGAGAUCGGGAGGAACAUCAGUGGCGAAGGCGGCCAUCUGGGACAACACUGACGCUGAGGCACGAAAGCGUGGGGAGCAAACAGGAUUAGAUACCCCAGUAGUCCCUGUCUCUUAUAC
rnacentral:rRNA from 1 species